rnacentral:tRNA from 1 species
GACCCAGUAGCUCAGCUGGAUAGAGCGUCUGCCUCCGGAGCAGAAGGUCGCAGGUUCGAAUCCUGCCUGGGUCGCCA